AGUGAACGCUGGCGGUAGGCCUAACACAUGCAAGUCGAACGGCAGCACAGUAAGAGCUUGCUCUUACGGGUGGCGAGUGGCGGACGGGUGAGGAAUACAUCGGAAUCUACUUUUUCGUGGGGGAUAACGUAGGGAAACUUACGCUAAUACCGCAUACGACCUACGGGUGAAAGCAGGGGAUCUUCGGACCUUGCGCGAUUGAAUGAGCCGAUGUCGGAUUAGCUAGUUGGCGGGGUAAAGGCCCACCAAGGCGACGAUCCGUAGCUGGUCUGAGAGGAUGAUCAGCCAUCCUGGAACUUAGACACGGUCCAGACUCCUACGGGAGGCAGCAGUCGGGAAUAUUGGACAAUGGGCGCAAGCCUGAUCCAGCCAUACCGCGUGGGUGAAGAAGGACUUCGGGUUGUAAAGCCCUUUUGUUGGGAAAGAAAAGCAGCAGGUUAAUACCCCGCUGUUCUGACGGUACCCAAAGAAUAAGCACCGGCUAACUUCGUG
rnacentral:rRNA from 1 species